GCUGGUAAAGCUGCCUUUUAGCCAGUUCCCAGGCGACGCUGAGGCUGCGGGUCUCCGCACCGCCCCCGGAGGAUCUGGGAGCCAGAGGCCUGCCCGGCGAUGGGGAGGCAGUGCCUGCCUGACCUGCCCUGGGGACUGGAGGAAGUCACUGUGAAUUUCCAAGCCUCAGCUUCCUGGCAUUGACUGGAUGCGGACCACGUGCCUGGCAGGUGCUAUUUUGGAGGUGCUCAGAGGCCAGCAGGGGAGACAAUUAUAGCACAAGGAGGAACGCUCUGGAGCAGGCGGUGUUCAAAGUGUUCUGAGACCCCGGGGAAGAUAAUCAUUCCAGCUGAAGGUGGAGAGACCACACAGAGGAGGUCCUUCCAACAUGGUGCUCGAUCCGGCUGAGAGCAGAAUGGCUUUCAUCUGUGACUAACGGGCCACCCUCAAGCCUUCCUCCCACCCACAACACUCAGCAUGAAAACAGAGGAAGGUAUUGGCCAGGAAUUCUCUUCCGGGUUCCAUGUAACAGUGCCUCCAAGUCAGGGACCCUCAGACCCUGGAGGAGGAUUCCAUUUCUAUAUGGCACCUGCAAGUAGGACAAGCGGUCUCACGAUGUUUAGAGUCUUCGUAGCAGCCAUGCUCUACAGCUGCCCGAGCACCUUCUGGCAGCAGAACCCAAGUCUCCUUUGAAUGACGGCUACUCCCCGUCUCUCUGGGCAUGUGACUCAGGCUGGUCAGUUCACACAGUUUCAUUUCUGGUCAGUGAUUGCUGCAGAGAUGGCUCCUAACCCAGCUGAGUCCUAUCAGAGUAAAGCCUGGGACUUCAGAAGCUAACAGGAUGAGAUGUGCUCUUUUCUCCACAGCCUUUAACCUGAAAGACAUUGAACCCUGGAGCUGCUGGCGCCAUCUUGAUUCACUGUAUAACCCAAAUACAGUCCUCAUGAAGGAAGAAGGCUAGAGCUGGGGAACAAAGAUACUGUUUGACCUUUUAUGAGCUCCAGGAUCAUGCCAUGCCUAAAGUCAGUGUAUCGCCUGAACUUUUAAAUUGCAUGCAUAAAUAAAUCCUCUUUUUG